GCUGAUGUAGCUCAGUUGGUAGAGCAAUUGAUUUGUAAUCAAUGGGUCAUGGGUUCAAGUCCCCUCAUCAGCUCCA
rnacentral:tRNA from 1 species